rnacentral:lncRNA from 1 species
ACAUCAGAUACACAUACAACACAAACAUACAGACAUCACACAUAUAUAUUUUAAUACAUAGAUAGCACAUGCAGAAUAAAAGCUAAGCAAGAUAUAUUAAAACAAAUGUCUAAUAUCAGCACAUAUAUAGUAGCACAUAGUAUUUAUAUAAGAGUAGCACAUGCAAACUUAAACACUUUAAGCACAAACAAAAGACUACAUGCAGCUUUUGCAAAGGUAAUGCAUAAGCAAAAGAAAUAAAUGGCUAAAUAAAAAAUAAAAAUAACUGCAAAAAGAUAAAACAUAAAAAAAAACCAAACAAACAGCAGGCUUCUAGAUCAAGUUAUGGGGCAGC